rnacentral:tRNA from 1 species
GCAUUGGUGGCUCAGUGGUAGAAGUCUUGCCUUCCAAGCCAAGAAACCUGGGUUAUUCCCAGUCAAUGUA